rnacentral:rRNA from 1 species
UACGAAUGGGGCAAGCGUUGUUCGGAAUCACUGGGCGUAAAGCGUGUGUAGGCGGUUAAUCAAGUCAGAAGUGAAAUCCCAGGGCUUAACCCUGGAAUUGCUUUUGAAACUGAUUGGCUAGAGUACUGGAGAGGUUAGCAGAAUUCCGAGUGUAGAGGUGAAAUUCGCAGAUAUUCGGAGGAAUACCAGUGGCGUAAGCGGCUAACUGGACAGUAACUGACGCUGAGACACGAAAGCGUGGGGAUCAAACGG